rnacentral:rRNA from 1 species
AAGCGGAGGAAAAGAAACUAACAAGGAUUUCCCUAGUAGUGGCGAACGACCGGGAAUUAGCCCAGCACCGAAUCCUGUAUCUUUGGUAUUAGGAAUUGUGGUGUAAAGGUUGCAUCUUUAGUUGUUUGUGUAUGCUUCAAAUUCACUUGAUUGUGAUGUUGUCCAGAGAGGGUGUUAGACCCGUUGGAGUAUACUCGAUGGCUAUUGAUGUUUCCUAUGAGUCGGAUUGUUUGAGAAUGCAGUCCAAAUUUGGUGGUAAACUCCAUCUAAGGCUAAAUACUUGUAUGAGUCCGAUAGCAAACAAGUACCGUGAGGGAAAGUUGAAAAGAACUUUGAAGAGAGAGUUAAAUAGUACGUGAAAUCGCUUAGAGGUAAACGAGUGGAGCCGAAAUUGUUCUACGGGAUUCAGUUGGGUGAAUGAUAAUGAUUGAACCAGUGAAAAUCUUAACCGAUAUCACAGAUUCGAUAUGUUUAUUGUACGCACAAUGCACUUUCUGUUGGACAAAACUGUGACCAAUAGUGUGGUUUUAUUGUCGUAAUGUUGAAGGUGACCGAUUGCUUGCAAUCGGUUUUAUAGCUCAUUACAUGGUAAAAUUGAUGUAUUGGUGAAUUUGCAAUCAGUCAAUAUUGGCAAUAUACGAUACAUGUGAUUUGGUAGUAGACUAGACAUAGACUAUUAUCAAUGUCGUGUGUGUCGUGUAAUGUUGAUGGAUUGGUUUAAAGUCACAGUAUAAUGUAGGUUAUCUACUCGUCCCGUCUUGAAACACGGACCAAGGAGUUUUAUAUGAUCGCGAGUCAAAGGGCUAUACGAAACCCCAGGGCGUAAUUAAUGUGAAAGUUUACUUUAAGUAGACUGUGAUGUGACCUGAUAUUACCUGUCAGUGCAACAUCGACCCGUCUAAAGAUGUUCGCAUCUGGGCGGAGUUUGAGCGAUCAUGUAGAGACCCGAAAGAUGGUGAACUAUGCUUGUGCAGGUUGAAGUCAGAGGAAACUCU